rnacentral:rRNA from 1 species
GAAUUUUGGACAAUGGGGGCAACCCUGAUCCAGCCAUCCCGCGUGUGCGAUGAAGGCCUUCGGGUUGUAAAGCACUUUUGGCAGGGAAGAAAAGGCUCUGGCUAAUACCUGGAGCUGCCGACGGUACCUGCAGAAUAAGCACCGGCUAACUACGUGCCAGCAGCCGCGGUAAUACGAAGGGUGCAAGCGUGAAUGGGAAUUACUGGGCGUAAAGCGUGCGCGAGCGGUUCGGCAAGAAGGAUGUGAAAUCCCAUGGCUUAACCUUGGAACUGCAGUCUUAACUGCCGGGCGAGAGUAUGUCAGAGGGGGGUAGAAUUCCGGGUGUAGCAGUGAAAUGCGUAGAGAUGCGGAGGAAUACCGAUGGCGAAGGCAGCCCCCUGGGAUAAUACUGACGCUCAUGCACGAAAGCGUGGGGAGCAAAC